rnacentral:rRNA from 1 species
UGGCUCAGGAUGAACGCUGGCGGCGUGCCUAACACAUGCAAGUCGAACGAUUAAAGCACCUUCGGGUGUGUAUAGAGUGGCGAACGGGUGAGUAACACGUGACCAACCUGCCUCUUACAUUGGGACAACCAAAAGAAAUUCUGGCUAAUACCAAAUACUCCGCACAUAUCACAUGAUGUAUGCGGGAAAGCUUUUGCGGUAAGAGAUGGGGUCGCGGCCCAUUAGGUAGACGGCGGGGUAGAAGCCCACCGUGCCGAUGAUGGGUAGCCGGGCUGAGAGACCGACCGGCCACAUUGGGACUAAGAUACGGCCCAGACUCCUACGGGAGGCAGCAGUGGGGAAUAUUGCGCAAUGGGGGAAACCCUGACGCAGCAACGCCGCGUGCGGGAUGAAGGCCUUCGGGUUGUAAACCGCUUUCAGCAGGGAAGACAUCGACGGUACCUGCAGAAGAAGCCCCGGCUAAC